rnacentral:rRNA from 1 species
CCUACGGGAGGCAGCAGUGGGGAAUAUUGCACAAUGGGGGAAACCCUGAUGCAGCAACGCCGCGUGAGUGAAGAAGGCAUUCGUGAUGUAAAGCUCUAUCAGCAGGGAAGAAAAUGAUGGUACCUGACUAAGAAGCCCCGGCUAACUACGUGCCAGCAGCCGCGGUAAUACGAAGGGGGCAAGUGUUAUCCGGAUUGACUGGGUGUAAAGGGAGCGUAGACGGCGACGCAAGUCGGAAGUGAAAUGCCAGUGCUCAACACUGGAACUGCUUUGGAAACUGUGUAGCUAGAGUGCAGGAGAGGUAAGUGGAUUUCCUCGUGUAGCGGUGCUAUGCGUCUCUAUUAGGCG